rnacentral:misc_RNA from 1 species
GAAGAAGAACGUAGCGAAAUGCGAUACGUAGUGUGAAUUGCAGAAUUCAGUGAAUCAUCGAAUCUUUGAACGCACAUUGCACCUCUCGGUAUUCCGGGAGGUAUGCCUGUUCGAGCGUCAUUUGUACCCUCAAGCUCUGCUUGGUGUUGGGUGUUUGUUCCGCCUCUGUGUGUGAACUCGCCUCAAAACAAUUGGCAGCCGGCGUACUUGUUUCGGAGCGCAGCACAUUUUGCGAUCCAGAUCAACGUACAGCGGCAUCCAAGAAGCCUUAUUUAACGCUCUUGACCUCGGAUCAGGUAGGGAUACCCGCUGAACUUAAGCAUAUCAAUAAGCGGAGGA